UAGAGCAUAUUGAACCAUAUUUUUGCUAUUACCAAUCAAAAUCCUAAAAUACGGAUUUUCGACCCACUCCAGUGGGAAAAGUAUGUGAAUAAAUUUAAUAA